UGGCGGUUAAAUGCUCGUAGUUGAUUUCUGUCGAGAGUGACCAGUCCACCCACGGGGUGAGUAUAUUGUUUGUUUUCGGCAUAUUUACGGAUAGGGCUGCAGUACUUGACUGUGCCGUGUGUUCUAUUCAUACAAAUUACUUUGAGGAAAUUAGAGUGCUUCGAGCAUGCAUAUGUACCGAACACGUUAGCAUGGAAUAAUAACAUCGGAUCGCCGCUGUAUUCGAUUGGUUUUAUAGCUGCGGUAAUGUUGAAUAGGGAUAACUGGUGGCAUUCGGAUUCAAUAGUCAGAGGUGAAAUUCUUGGAUUUAUUAAAAACGACCUGCGGCGAAAGCAUUUGCCAAUUAUGUUUUCAUUGAUCAAGAACUAAAGUUAGGGGAUCGAAGACGAUCAGAUACCGUCCUAGUCCUAACAAUAAACAAUGCCGACUAGGAAUUGAAUGCUAUCAAUUAUACGAUUCUUCCAGCAUUUUAUGAAAAAUCAAAGUAUUUGGGUUCCGGGGGGAGUAUGGUCGCAAGGCUGAAACUUAAAGGAAUUGACGGAAGGGCACCACCAGGAGUGGAGCCUGCGGCUUAAUUUGACUCAACACGGGGAAACUUAUCAGGUCCCAACAUAAUAAGGAUUGACUAAUUGAUUGCUUGCUCUUGAUUAUAUGGGUGGUGGUGCAUGGCCGUUCUUAGUUGGUGGAGUGAUUUGUCUGGUUAAUUCCGUUAACGAACGAGACCUUAGUCUGCUAAACAAUUAUGUCUAAUUUCGGUUAUGUUCAAAAUUCCUUAGAGGGAC
rnacentral:rRNA from 1 species